rnacentral:rRNA from 1 species
CCCUUAGAUGUUCUGGGCUGCACGCGCGCUACACUGAUGCAAUCAACGAGUUCGCUGCUUCGAGAGGAGUGGCAAAUCUUUUGAAAUUGCAUCGUGACGGGGAUAGAUUAUUGUAAUUAUUAAUCUUCAACGAGGAAUUCCUAGUAGGUGCAUGUCAUCAACAUGCGCCGAUUACGUCCCUGCCCUUUGUACACACCGCCCGUCGCUCCUACCGAUUGAAUGUUCCGGUGAGUUAUUCGGACUGCGAGUUUGGACCUGUCCUUGCUCGCGGAAAGUCUUGCGAACCUUAACAUUUAGAGGAAGGAUAAGUCGUAACA